rnacentral:rRNA from 1 species
CCUACGGGCGGCAGCAGUGAGGAAUAUUGGUCAAUGGACGAGAGUCUGAACCAGCCAAGUAGCGUGAAGGAUGACUGCCCUAUGGGUUGUAAACUUCUUUUAUAUGGGAAUAAAAUGUUCCACGUGUGGGAUUUUGUAUGUACCAUAUGAAUAAGGAUCGGCUAACUCCGUGCCAGCAGCCGCGGUAAUACGGAUGAUCCGAGCGUUAUCCGGAUUUAUUGGGUUUAAAGGGAGCGUAGGUGGAUUGUUAAGUCAGUUGUGAAAGUUUGCGGCUCAACCGUAAAAUUGCAGUUGAAACUGGCAGUCUUGAGUACAGUAGAGGUGGGCGGAAUUCGUGGUGUAGCGGUGAAAUGCUUAGAUAUCACGAAGAACUCCGAUUGCGAAGGCAGUUCACUGGACUGCAACUGACACUGAGGCUCGAAAGUGUGGGUAUCAAACAGGAUUAGAUACCCCAGUAGUC